rnacentral:rRNA from 1 species
GAUGAACGCUGGCGGCGUGCUUAACACAUGCAAGUCGAACGGAAAGGCUCCUGCUUGCAGGGGUUCUCGAGUGGCGAACGGGUGAGUAACACGUGGGUGAUCUGCCCUGCACUUCGGGAUAAGCCUGGGAAACUGGGUCUAAUACCGGAUAGGACCACAUUUUGGAUGGUGUGGUGGAAAGUUUUUCGGUGUGGGCUGAGCUGGGGGCCUAUCAGCUUGUUGGUGGGGUAAUGGCCUACCAAGGCGUCGACGGGUAGCCGGCAUGAGAGGUUGUACGGCCACAUUGGGACUGAGAGACGGCCCAGACUCCAACGGGAGACAGCAGUGGGGAGUAUUGCACAGUGGGCGCAAGCCUGAUGCAGCGACGCCGCGUGGGGGAUGACGGCCUUCGGGUUGUAAACUCCUUUCGCUAGGGACGAAGCGCAAGUGACGGUACCUGGAGAAGAAGCACCGGCUAACUACGUG